UGACUCACCAACCGUUCUCAGCCU
rnacentral:misc_RNA from 1 species